AUGUCUCAAUGGCAUAGUGGUUAGGACGAGCGUUAAACCACUAUGCCAUUGAGACAUUU
rnacentral:pre_miRNA from 1 species